CCGCGACAAACAGCAGUCGAGUUUACUGACAGGCAUCAUUAUGGCGAUAGCUUUCCUUGGACCAGCUGUUGCGCUCAGUCUUGGUGGAUGGCUCAGUGACGUUCCCAUUGAUCUAAGCGAGUCCAAGUUAGACAGCCUUCACCCCCAGUGGAUUGGUGCAUGGUGGAUCGGAUACCUGAUCAUUGGAUGUGCAGAAG